GCAAGUAUAGUUUAACAAAAACACUAGAUUGUGAAUCUAAUGAUAGAAAUCAAAAUUUUCUUACUUACC
rnacentral:tRNA from 1 species